UGGGAAAGCAUUCAAAACUCGUGCGGCCUCAGAUUGUGGGAUCAUUCGUCUGGGAUACAAUCUGGACAUGAGGAGUUUUAAAAGUUCCCCAGUCCCUCCAGACUGACCAACUUUAGGAGUCCCGGUUUUUUCCUUCAAAACAAUUCGAAGCUUUUCAAGCAGAGUAAAAACUCUUUCAAAGCGCUGGUUUGGAGUGUCCAAGAGCAUGGCCCUCGUGAGCCCAGGUCUGGAGGCUGCUCGUCCUGACUUUCACUGUGACCUUGACAAAGCACCAGAAAUAACCAGCAACAAAUUUUGUAUGCCAGGAAAAUAGGCUCCAAGCAGGACGCCUGCCUGACCUAUAAAAUGCUGUGAACCCAAACGGAUCUUUACUCUGGAUCUUA